UACGUAGGGGCUAGCGUUAUCCGGAAUUACUGGGCGUAAAGGGUGCGUAGGUGGUUUCUUAAGUCAGAGGUGAAAGGCUACGGCUCAACCGUAGUAAGCCUUUGAAACUGGGAAACUUGAGUGCAGGAGAGGAGAGUGGAAUUCCUAGUGUAGCGGUGAAAUGCGUAGAUAUUAGGAGGAACACCAGUGGCGAAGGCGACUUUCUGGCCAAAACUGACGCUGAGAUGCGAAAGCGUGGGGAGGCAAACAGGAUUAGAUACCCUCGUAGUCCUUGAGCGGG
rnacentral:rRNA from 1 species